GACGAACGCUGGCGGCGUGGAUUAGGCAUGCAAGUCGAACGGUAUCAUCCUUUCGGGGGUGAGAGAGUGGCGAACUGGUGAGUAACACGUAGGUUAUCUACCCUCAAGACGGGGACAACCCAGGGAAACUUGGGCUAAUACCGGAUGUGAGCAACUUUUUAGUUGUUUGAAAGGUGGCGUAAGCUGUCGCUUGGGGAUGAGCCUGCGUCCUAUUAGUUAGUUGGUGAGGUAACGGCUCACCUAGGCAAUGAUAGGUAGGCGGCCUUAACGGGUGGUCGCCCACACUGGGAUUGAGAUACGGCCCAGACUCCUACGGGAGGCAGCAGUCGAGAAUAGUCUACAAUGGUCGGAAGACUGAUAGUGCGACGCCGCGUGAACGAUGAAUCCCUUCGGGGUGUAAAGUUCUUUUAUAUGUGAGCAGUGCUUCUUAUAUUAACAGUAUGGGGAGAGAGAUAUUAGCAUAUGAAUAAGCAACGGCUAACUCCGUGCCAGCAGCCGCGGUAGG
rnacentral:rRNA from 1 species